UGCAGUCGAGCGGUAGAGAGGAGCUUGCUUCUCUUGAGAGCGGCGGACGGGUGAGUAAUGCCUAGGAAUCUGCCUGGUAGUGGGGGAUAACGUUCGGAAACGGACGCUAAUACCGCAUACGUCCUACGGGAGAAAGCAGGGGACCUUCGGGCCUUGCGCUAUCAGAUGAGCCUAGGUCGGAUUAGCUAGUUGGUGAGGUAAUGGCUCACCAAGGCGACGAUCCGUAACUGGUCUGAGAGGAUGAUCAGUCACACUGGAACUGAGACACGGUCCAGACUCCUACGGGAGGCAGCAGUGGGGAAUAUUGGACAAUGGGCGAAAGCCUGAUCCAGCCAUGCCGCGUGUGUGAAGAAGGUCUUCGGAUUGUAAAGCACUUUAAGUUGGGAGGAAGGGCAGUUACCUAAUACGUAAUUGUUUUGACGUUACCGACAGAAUAAGCACCGGCUAACUCUGUGCCAGCAGCCGCGGUAAUACAGAGGGUGCAAGCGUUAAUCGGAAUUACUGGGCGUAAAGCGCGCGUAGGUGGUUUGUUAAGUUGGAUGUGAAAUCCCCGGGCUCAACCUGGGAACUGCAUUCAAAACUGACUGACUAGAGUAUGGUAGAGGGUGGUGGAAUUUCCUGUGUAGCGGUGAAAUGCGUAGAUAUAGGAAGGAACACCAGUGGCGAAGGCGACCACCUGGACUAAUACUGACACUGAGGUGCGAAAGCGUGGGGAGCAAACAGGAUUAGAUACCCUGGUAGUCCACGCCGUAAACGAUGUCAACUAGCCGUUGGAAGCCUUGAGCUUUUAGUGGCGCAGCUAACGCAUUAAGUUGACCGCCUGGGGAGUACGGCCGCAAGGUUAAAACUCAAAUGAAUUGACGGGGGCCCGCACAAGCGGUGGAGCAUGUGGUUUAAUUC
rnacentral:rRNA from 1 species